UACAAUGGAGAGUUUGAUCCUGGCUCAGGAUGAACGCUAGCGGCAGGCCUAAUACAUGCAAGUCGAACGGCAGACGAUCUUUCGGGAUUGUUGAGAGUGGCGCACGGGUGCGUAACGCGUAUGCAACCUGGCUCAUAGAGGGGGAUAGCCCGGGGAAACCCGGAUUAAUACCCCAUGGUAUUGUUUCA
rnacentral:rRNA from 1 species